UUUUUUUCUCUCAACAGCCCUCUCAGGCCGGCCAUCGGGCCACGUGGCGGCCGCCAGUUACCGGUCCAAAUUGCUUUUAUAGCCAUUUUAUACAAUUUUUAUAGCCAUUUUAUACAAUUUUUAUAUAGAUUUUUUCUUUGUAUCUGAUUCUGUCUUUUCUUUGUAGGAGCAGUUGGUGGUAGAGGAGUUGGUGGCUGACGUGGGAGGAGUGGUGGUGCCAGAGUAGAGAUUUAGGGUGCGGUGGCUAGGGUUAGAUUAGCUAUUAGGGUUUCUUUUGUUUUGCUAAAACUGGUUAAGUGUUUUGGGCCAUUGGGCCUCUUUUUUCAUUUGGGCUUUAAUAUUUUUAUUUUAGUUUGUAAUUUAUUUUUCAUUUAUUUGUAGAAUUGGGCCCGGGCGAAAUUGGGC
rnacentral:lncRNA from 1 species